rnacentral:rRNA from 1 species
GACGAACGCUGGCGGCGUGCCUGACACAUGCAAGUCGAACGAGGUCCAUCCAGUGGCAACACCGGUGAAGACCUAGUGGCGAACGGGUGAGUAACACGUGAGGAACCUGCCCCGAAGACCGGGAUAACUCUCCGAAAGGAGAGCUAAUACCGGAUGCCCCCACCGGACCGCAUGGUCUGGUGAGGAAAUGGAUUCCGCUUCGGGAGGGCCUCGCGGCCUAUCAGCUAGUUGGUGGGGUAACGGCCCACCAAGGCAUCGACGGGUAGCUGGUCUGAGAGGACGAUCAGCCACACUGGGACUGAGACACGGCCCAGACUCCUACGGGAGGCAGCAGUGGGGAAUCUUGCGCAAUGGGCGAAAGCCUGACGCAGCAACGCCGCGUGGGGGAUGAAGGCUCUCGGGUUGUAAACCCCUUUCAGCAGGGACGAAUCAAGACGGUACCUGCAAAAGAAGCCCCGGCUAACUACGUGCCAGCCGCCGCAGUAAUAC